GAUGAACGCUGGCGGCGUGCCUAAUACAUGCAAGUCGAGCGAACAGACGAGGAGCUUGCUCCUCUGACGUUAGCGGCGGACGGGUGAGUAACACGUGGAUAACCUACCUAUAAGACUGGGAUAACUUCGGGAAACCGGAGCUAAUACCGGAUAAUAUAUUGAACCGCAUGGUUCAAUAGUGAAAGACGGUUUUGCUGUCACUUAUAGAUGGAUCCGCGCCGCAUUAGCUAGUUGGUAAGGUAACGGCUUACCAAGGCAACGAUGCGUAGCCGACCUGAGAGGGUGCUCGGCCACCGUGAAACUGAGACGCGGCCCAGACUCCUAGGGGGGGCAGCAGUAGGGAAUCCUCCGCAAUGGGCGAAAGCCUGGCGGAGCAACGCCGCGUGAGUGAUGAAGGUCUUCGGAUCGUAAAACUCUGUUAUUAGGGAAGAACAAAUGUGUAAGUAACUAUGCACGUCUUGACGGUACCUAAUCAGAAAGCCACGGCAAACUACG
rnacentral:rRNA from 1 species